rnacentral:sRNA from 1 species
AUUCAAUAGCAGUUGAUUUUGGGC